UUGCCCUCACAUCAGGCAAGACAACCC
rnacentral:rRNA from 1 species